rnacentral:ncRNA from 1 species
GAGCGAUAAAGGUAAACCCUGAGUGAUCGGGAGACGCAAAGUAAUAGGGUCUUUAACUACAAAGGCGUAGUGUAAGAUAGCCUUACUGCCGAA